rnacentral:rRNA from 1 species
UAAAUAACAAUGCAGAGCCCUUUGGGCUUUGCAAUUGGAAUGAGAACAAUUUAAAUCCCUUAUCGAGUAACAAUUGGAGGGCAAGUCUGGUGCCAGCAGCCGCGGUAAUUCCAGCUCCAAUAGCGUAUAUUAAAGUUGUUGCAGUUAAAAAGCUCGUAGUUGAACUUGAUGCAAGCUUGGUCUGGACAUUUGUCUGGACUGGGUGAGCUCUUUUCGGGGGAUGCGUCACUUGUGGCGAGGAACCCACGUUACUGUGAAGAAAUUAGAGUGUUUAAAGCAGGCGAUCGCUUGAAUACAUUAGCAUGGAAUAACAAGAUAGGACUUGGUUCUACUUGUUGGUUUGGGGGCCAGAGUAAUGAUUAAUAGGGCCAGUCGGGGGCAUUAGUAUUCAGCAGUCAGAGGUGAAAUUCUUGGAUUUGCUGAAGACUAACUAGUGCGAAAGCAUUUGCCAAGGAUGUUUUCAUUAAUCAAGAACGAAAGUUAGGGGAUCGAAGACGAUCAGAUACCGUCGUAGUCUUAACUAUAAACGAUGCCGACUCGGGAUCGGCAGGAUUCGUUCGCGAACCUGUCGGCACCGUGUGAGAAAUCAAAGUUUUUGGGUUCUGGGGGGAGUAUGGUCGCAAGGCUGAAACUUAAAGGAAUUGACGGAAGGGCACCACCAGGAGUGGAGCCUGCGGCUUAAUUUGACUCAACACGGGAAAACUCACCAGGUCCGGACAUGGUAAGGAUUGACAGAUUGAGAGCUCUUUCUUGAUUCUGUGGGUGGUGGUGCAUGGCCGUUCUUAGUUGGUGGAGUGAUUUGUCUGGUUAAUUCCGAUAACGAACGAGACCUUAACCUGCUAACUAGUGCUGGUUACGAGAGUAGCCAGUGACUUCUUAGAGGGACUGACUAUGUUUAAUAGUCGGAAGUUUGAGGCAAUAACAGGUCUGUGAUGCCCUUAGAUGUUCUGGGCUGCACGCGCGCUACACUGACAAAGGCAGCGAGUAUACCUUGACCGAGAGGUUUGGGAAAUCUUGUUAAACUUUGUCGUGCUGGGGAUAGAUCAUUGCAAUUAUUGGUCUUGAACGAGGAAUUCCUAGUAAGCGCAUGUCAUCAGCAUGCGUUGAUUACGUCCCUGCCCUUUGUACACACCGCCCGUCGCUACUACCGAUUGAAUGGCUUAGUGAGGC